AAAUAUGAUGGGCUUAAUGAAUCUGGGUGAAUAUCUGUAUGAAAGAUAGCUCACAAUCUCAGGUGUGUUUGCACAUACCAAAGGCAGAUCUUUGUCACCCCUCCCAUCCCAAUGUGCCAGAGGAAAGCUGGUCAAGGCAGUAAUUUCAAUCUGGAUUUCUUACAAGGGUAGGUGUGAAAAUAACUGGGAUUUCUGAUGACAUGAGCUUCCUCUUCCAAAGGAGAAGGGCCAUGGUGACCACUGGGAAAUGCAAGGCUCCAAUAUAACAGAUGGAAAAAGAGAUGUGGACAUCACACUGACACACUACAGAUGUGCCAGAUACACAUUUAAAAUGGCCGUGAUUCAGAUUGGACCAGGACUGAACACCUCAAAUACUUACUGUUGCAACUCCAAGUCCACCUGAAAAUGAUGAUUUUUAUUCCCCAAAUUAUUCUUGUCUUGCCAACUCCAGCAGCUGGGGAAAGGAUUUGAGGAUAUGAUGUACAGCAGAUGUAGGCACCUCAGAUAUAGAAAGUACUAUUUUCAACACUUUCCCACUUCUACAGCACCCUUUAUUGUUGUUGUUUUCGUCAGUGAAGUGCUCUAAAGUUCUGCAUAAACCAAAAAUCACAACAUUUCUCAGCAUUUAUUCUGGUGCAUUAAUGAUCUUUAAAUACAAGACCUCACCUCCAAGAAAUCUUUAUGUCUGCAAAAAGGAAUAAAGACCGAAUGUGAUCCCUCACAGCAAUUACUGUAGCUAAAAAAAAGAGAAAAAAAAAAGAUAAAGAACCAGAAGUAAGAGGACGCUGUAAUUUUUCAAAUUGUGAAGAGUGAUAACUGCUAUAGUUUUCAGCCCCCUGAAAUCUAACAGAGUAUUUCAAAUGCCAUCUUGUCCUUGAUUCUUUUUGGCCUGCUUAUGUAUCCUGUUGGCAAGUUUGACUAGUUUAACACAAUUGCUCACAAGUUUGUAAGCUCCCAGCCCACUCUUGCCUAAUUCCAGCUUGGAAACUGUGACUCCAUUAAUUUAAAUUUUUGUGACUUUUUGGAGGGAAGGCCUGCUAGCUCUGAUAUAGGAUCUCCAAAGUGACUCUUGCUUUCCCAGUGUCUGGACUGCGAUACACGCAGGUGCCACUGAGCACCUUGGACUGCUGGUUAUGGGCUACAUAUUUAAGGCUAAGAUAACACAUUAGAAAGGAUUUUUCUGCUUUGUAUCAGCUGACAGUAAAUAAAAAACAAAAUCGUUUAAAUAUCAUAGUACAGUUAAUACAUAGAAGAACAUUCAAAGCUUUUAGAGCUUUUGAGCAAUAUGAGGCUCAUAAUUGCAAAGUGACAUGUACGGAAAAUGUGAAAUAAUUCUUCAGUCCCUCAAGAAAGAACUAAAGCAGAAACGCCACGGCCUAGACAGCCUUACUUAGAGUAAAAUUACAACUACAGUGAAAAAAUAACCAAACUACUAUCUUUGAGGAGACGGACAAACUGAUGCCCAUAUAUGACAGAUUUAUUUUGGUAAAAUGUGAGCCCACUGGAGACAACCAAGAAGCUGUCAGUGGGUAAGCAUUAAAUGGUUUUGAUGAAAUGACUGAAAUUUUGCUUGUGUUAAACUUGAUACACUGAAAUGAAGAAUCCCCUGAAUAUUGUUACUGAAUUUCCUCCAAAAGCAAG